UAACAUAUAAAGCCAUGUGAGGUCUGUGAGAUGCCUCCUAUAAGCAGAGUAAGAGCAGCCUGCGUCUCUUAGAAAGGUCAUCACAGAAAGAUUUGGGCCCACAACUGUUCAAGCCACAGUGACAAGUGAAAUGCUUAUCAAGUAGAUCUUGAAAUAUACCAGGUUCCCCAGUCCAUCUAAACAGUGUGCAGAGCGAGGAGAGCAGGGCUACAGGGAAGAGCGGGAUCACCAAGCCUCCAUUACAGGCAAUCUCAGGCGAGCGGCCUGGCAGCCCCAUGCUGUGAGGAACCUGGGCCUGCUCGGCUGGGAUUCCUCCAUGUGAGGGGCUGGGGUAGCAGUGCUGGGAGCUGCUCUGAGGGCAGGGAGUGCUUGGGACAGGAAAGAAAAAGGCCCUGUGCAUUUGCAGGCUCCUGAUCCUACUGAAGGAGGGGACUGCAGCAGGGGUCAGGAUUUGGCAGAGCUCCCUCUGAGGACAAAAACAAGAUUCUGCUGCCCCUGACUACUGAGGAUCCCCUCUACAAGUCCAGCAUAGUAUGAAGUGUAGUUUCCACAUCUGUGUGUCAAAAUGGAAAGAACAUCUGAGAUGAAGUUUGCUGCAUGCAAAUCAUCACAGUAGGUUUCUAACGACCAAAUCUUGCUCUAGUCAGUGAACACAGCUGCCACCUAGAGACUUCACUUCUUCCUGAAUAUACAUGUUGGCUUUCGAAUUACUGCCACUGCAGAAAAUUCACUCGCCACUUGCACAGUUUCAGACAUGAAGAUUAAACUGUUCUGACCCACUUACAGUUUGGAAAGGAAGUCCUUUCAACCCUGUCCUCCACAGCAAAAUGAAAUAAAUACGAUAAGGGACCAGGAUAUAUAUUAUUUACACCAGCAGUUUCAAAUAACUGUGACUGGUCAGCUUCAUGUCAGGUGCCCUCAACAUAAGAGAAAACAGUUUUGAUUAAUACUGGAACUCAAUGAAGACUUUAUUGGUAUUGGCUCGGUAGUGUUCAGGAAGGGGAUAAUUUCUGCUUUUGCAUUAGUGUAACUAAGGUUCACAGUUCUUAAUCUGUAAGUGCCUACACAUUUAUUUUUAAAUUUAUCUACUCCCCUCACCAAAAUCUUUCUGAGUUUUUGUUUGUUGUUCUUUUUUUACUUAAUAUAGAUAAUUCUAGCAAUUUAAUUUUAUAUCUAUUGUGUAGCCCACAUGAUAUUAACUUGAAUCUCUACAAUUUCUUUGAGCUUUAGAUGACUACACAUUAGUUAACAUCAUUUCUAACAGCAGAAAUGGAGUCAUAAACUUUCAUUUUGACAUGUUGGAUUAAGAGCGCUAACAGGGACCUGUUAAAAUAGGAAAACUGUCAUAACGUCAAGGAAAUUGGUUCAAGUUAAUGUAGAUGGUUGAUAAAACAAGAAUGUCAAUUCAUUUUGAAUCUGCCUUUCCCUAAAAUAUGUGGGCAGUCUCUGAGGUAUGAGAGUCAAGAAGCAGUAUCAUUUCCAACUAUUGAAGAGAAAUAUGCAGAAUAUGGCAUUCUCCCUUCAUUUCUCUUAUUCACCUCGGAACUGUUAUUUUAUGUUCCUUUCUGUUUGUUUCUAUUCAUUACUGACCUUUGUUUCUCAGUGACCUCAGUGUGCCAACUGGCAUAAAAGGGGAUGUGGAGAUGCUGGACUCUGUAGGUCAGAAGUCCUUGUAGAUGUCCUCACUCCCUUUCCUACUUUUGACCAUUUCUCCAUUAGUGACCUGGAGUUCUUAGACUACUUCUUUGCCUUUGCAAAACAUCUGAAAAGACUGGAGUAUUGGAAACCUAACUAGACUCUCAAAUUUCACUUGGGAGAUAGAUUUAUUGUAAACUUGAGUGAGAGAAUAACAAUAAAGUGAGAGAAUAACAUAACAUUUAUAAAAUAAAAUAUAA